rnacentral:rRNA from 1 species
UACGUAGGUGACAAGCGUUGUCCGGAUUUACUGGGCGUAAAGAGCGCGCAGGCGGUCGUUCAAGUCGAGUGUGAAAGCCCCCGGCUCAACUGGGGAGGGUCAUUCGAUACUGAUCGACUCGAAGGCAGGAGAGGGAAGUGGAAUUCCCGGUGUAGUGGUGAAAUGCGUAGAUAUCGGGAGGAACACCAGUGGCGAAGGCGGUUGCCUGGAGCUUUGCUGACGCUGAUGCGCGAAAGCGUGGGGAGCGAUCCGG